rnacentral:rRNA from 1 species
AACACGGGGGGAGCAAGCGUUGUUCGGAUUUACUGGGCGUAAAGGGCGCGUAGGCGGCCACCGCAAGUCAAUUGUGAAAUCUCCGGGCUUAACUCGGAAAGGUCAACUGAUACUGCGGGGCUAGAGUGCGGAAGGGGCAACUGGAAUUCUCGGUGUAGCGGUGAAAUGCGUAGAUAUCGAGAGGAACACCUGCGGCGAAGGCGGGUUGCUGGGCCGACACUGACGCUGAGGCGCGAAAGCUAGGGGAGCGAACA